rnacentral:rRNA from 1 species
GACGAACGCUGGCGGCGUGCUUAACACAUGCAAGUCGAACGGAAAGGCCCUGCUUUUGUGGGGUGCUCGAGUGGCGAACGGGUGAGUAACACGUGAGUAACCUGCCCUUGACUUUGGGAUAACUUCAGGAAACUGGGGCUAAUACCGGAUAGGAGCUCCUGCUGCAUGGUGGGGGUUGGAAAGUUUCGGCGGUUGGGGAUGGACUCGCGGCUUAUCAGCUUGUUGGUGGGGUAGUGGCUUACCCAGGCUUUGACGGGUAGCCGGCCUGAGAGGGUGACCGGCCACAUUGGGACUGAGAUACGGCACAGACUCCUACGGGAGGCAGCAGUGGGGAAUAUUGCACAAUGGGCGGAAGCCUGAUGCAGCAACGCCGCGUGCGGGAUGACGGCCUUCGGGUUGUAAACCGCUUGCGCCUGUGACGAAGCGUGAGUGACGGUAAUGGGUAAAGAAGCACCGGCUAACUACGUG